CCUGUGAAGUGGCAUUGUCUCUCCCAUGCACCCAACUAGAGCGAGAUGCAGAAAGGUCAAAGCCAUGUUCGACCAGGAGCUGCCAGGAGGAUCCCUCAACCAGCAGCACCCAGCUCCACCAGCACUGGGCCAGAGCCCCAAGAGCUUAACAGCUACUGCAGGUUGUGCUAAAGGAGCAGCUCAGUGGAUCAGUGACUGAUGGGCAGCUCUGAGCUUUGCUAAAACGUUCCUGAGGUUGAAGUUGAGAGAAAACUAGUGCUUGUGGAUUUCCAGAGCCGACAACAGUGCAAACAGCUGUGCAAGUUCAAUUUUCCUUUUGUUUUUUUGUCUACUACCUGGACCGACCUUCUUAGAGAGCAUCUUAUCUCCCAGAUGAGAUAGCAGCCAUGGCUCUAAGACAAUUAGAGGCAAUUUAAAGUGGUGUGGCUGCAAAUCCCAUUUUUGAGCACACAGUCCUACCUCCGUUUCUGUUGCUUGUCUGGCUGACUCAGUGAAGCUAUCUAUGGGAAAAAUGAUAGGGCAUUUCUGCCAGCACUGGGAGGUGAUCAGACUCACUGGGGAAGCAGUGUCAGUGAUAGGAGGCAAACCCAUGUAGCUGGAGGCAGUAACUUGCAUAAGGGAUAGCAGGACCCUAGCCAUCACAAUUCACUUUUGUUUUAGCCUUCAUGGAAAGAUUCAUAGCAUCAUUCCGAUUAAUAAGACCCUUAUUAAUUAAGGUAAAAGACCCUUAGGAUCAUUGAGUUCAACCACUAAUGUAAUACUACCAAAUCCACCACUCUCCAUUAGCACCACAUCUUGCCAAUCUUUUAAAUCUCUUCAGGGAUAAUAAUUCCACCACUUCCCUGGACAACCUGUUCCAAUGCUUGACUACUCUUUCCAUAAAAAAAUUUUUCUUAGUACCCAUUCUAAACCUCUCUUGGUGCAACUUGAGGCCAUUUUCUCUCGUUCCAUUGCUUGUUAAUUGAGUGAAGAGAACAACCCUCACCCUGCUACGGCUUCCUUUGCAGUAGUUGUGGACAGCAGUGAGGUAUCCCUUGAAAUUUCUCCAGGCUAAACAACCCCUAACACUCCACUCAGUCACUCUUCAUAAGACUUGUGCUCCAGACUCUUCACCAGCUCUAUUGCCCUUGUCUGGACAUGCUCCAGCACCUCAAUUUUUUUCUUGUAGUGGGGGGCCCUGUGAGCAGGGCUUUCAUCAGCAGUCUGAAUGAAAGCAGCAUGCUUUCAUCCUCUCCCCUCCUUGGCACAUUUCCUGCACCAUUCCUUAUGCUCUGCAAUCAGCAAAGCAAUCUGGCUGAAAGAAAAAAAUAAAAUUAAAAAGUCUUACUUCCAGGAUUAGUUUUCAAAUUGCAGCAGCAUGGUCUGAGAUCAUACUAGGCUGCCAGUGAAAUCCGUAACUUUACCUCAUAUCUGGAAUCAGAGCAGCCAGUCCACUGGACUAGGGGCAACCUGGACCAGCAAGGCUGGGAUGUUGCUCUUCUGACACAGGCCUGCUCCUCACACGGGUGGUGAAAGUGGAAAAAGGGAAGUACGUGGUAGUUUGCAGUAACUGGGAUCCUGAUGUAUGUCUACUAAAAAUUAUUCAGCUUCAUUUCAACCCUUGGCCAUUUUUCCUAACUUGCAAAGGAUGCAGUCAGAAGUGACACUGAAAAGAGGGCAAGCUAUUUUAUCCUGGAAGCUCACCACGUCCUGCGCUUCCUGGUUACAGGACCUAAGAGGGAGAAACCACACCCCAAAGUACAUCAAGGCAAGAGCACCAAGGAUAACAUCCACAAUUCAAAAUUCAACCUGGAAAUAAGCAUCUAAAACCAAGAAACUGGAAGAACAUCUGUAUUUUGGCUGCUGCGACUUUGAGCAAUAAGAUACUUGCAUAAAUGUGA